GAGUUGUUUGGGAAUGCUGCUCAAAAUGGGAGGUAAACCCCUUCUAAAGCUAAAUAUUGGCCAGAGACCGAUAGCGCACAAGUAGAGUGAUCGAAAGAUGAAAAGCACUUUGAAAAGAGAGUUAAACAGCACGUGAAAUUGUUGAAAGGGAAGCGCUUGCGACCAGACUUGUGCUCGUCGAAUCAGCCGUCGCUCGUCGGCGGCGCAUUUCGGCGGGCUCAGGCCAGCAUCAGUUCGCUGUAGGGGGAGAAAGGCGGUAGGAAUGUGGCUCCUCGGAGUGUUAUAGCCUACCGUAUAAUACCCCUCGGCGGACUGAGGACCGCGCAUCUGCAAGGAUGCUGGCGUAAUGGUUGUCAGCGACCCGUCUUGAAACAC
rnacentral:rRNA from 1 species